rnacentral:miRNA from 1 species
UACCUUGUCGACUGGAAGGGUGUCCUUCCAGUCUACGAGGUACUUGUACCUCGUCCACCGGAAGGGCUUCCUUCCAGCCGGUAAGGUA